rnacentral:rRNA from 1 species
CGAGUAGCAAUACUUGCGGCGACCGGCGCAAGGGUGCGUAACGCGUGAGCAACAUGCCCGUAUCAGGGGGAUAAUCCAGGGAGACUUGGUCUAAUACCCCAUAGUAAUUUUGUAAGGCAUCUUAUAAGAUUUAAAGCUUUGGUGGGAUACGGAUUGGCUCGCGUGACAUUAGCUGGAUGGUAAGGUAACGGCUUACCAUGGCUAUGAUGUCUAGGGGUUCUGAGAGGAAGGUCCCCCACACUGGAACUGAGACACGGUCCAGACUCCUACGGGAGGCAGCAGUGAGGAAUAUUGGACAAUGGAUGGAAAUCUGAUCCAGCCAUGCCGCGUGAAAGGAAGAAGGUCCUAUGGAUUGUAAACUUCUUUUGUAUGGGAGCAAUAAGGCCUACGUGUAGGUUGAUGAGAGUACCAUACGAAUAAGCACCGGCUAACUCCGUGCCAGCCGCCGC